GUAGACAAAACCAAACACAAUUUCAAUAUUUCCCUCUCUUUCUCUCUUUUACUUUCAUUCGGCUUCCUCAUUCUCUCUCUACACUAAACCUCCGAUUUUUCCAUUGCUACUUCGCGCAUUCCACAGGAAAGGGUAUAAUUCUGGGGCUUCCAUGACAUGUUCUGGUUGUCAAAGAAGUGGUAUGAGUAUAUCUAUGAGGCAUUUGGGUGCUAAUUAGAUUCAACAAAUGAAACAUCUUUGCAGUGAAUAUAAGGAAGUGGUAUGAAUAUUUCUAUGAAUAUUCCUAACACUGCAAUUUUUUAUAGGAUGAACUAGAGGUGGCCCUAACAGAUUUAAAAGCCAUUGUGCUGCAGCAUUAGGAAUUAAAGAUUGAGUUGGAAAUAUAUAGAGAUAAUGAUAUGGAUGCCUUUGAAACAAUGAAGGAAGCAAUUGAAGUUGCUCAUACAUCAGCUAACAAUAUUUUCACUCUGAAGUAAUGGUGUUCAAACAACUUCUCUAAGGCUAAGGAACACCUUGAAAAUAUGUACAAGGAGGUCAGUCAUUUCAGUUUAAUGCUUCAAUCUGCA